rnacentral:rRNA from 1 species
AAGGACGUGCUAAUCUGCGAUAAGCGUCGGUAAGGUGAUAUGAACCGUUAUAACCGGCGAUUUCCGAAUGGGGAAACCCAGUGUGAUUCGUCACACUAUCAUUAACUGAAUCCAUAGGUUAAUGAGGCGAACCGGGGGAACUGAAACAUCUAAGUACCCCGAGGAAAAGAAAUCAACCGAGAUUCCCCCAGUAGCGGCGAGCGAACGGGGAGCAGCCCAGAGCCUGAAUCAGUGUGUGUGUUAGUGGAAGCGUCUGGAAAGGCGCGCGAUACAGGGUGACAGCCCCGUACACAAAAAUGCACAUACUGUGAGCUCGAUGAGUAGGGCGGGACACGUGGUAUCCUGUCUGAAUAUGGGGGGACCAUCCUCCAAGGCUAAAUACUCCUGACUGACCGAUAGUGAACCAGUACCGUGAGGGAAAGGCGAAAAGAACCCCGGCGAGGGGAGUGAAAAAGAACCUGAAACCGUGUACGUACAAGCAGUGGGAGCACGCUUAGGCGUGUGACUGCGUACCUUUUGUAUAAUGGGUCAGCGACUUAUAUUCUGUAGCAAGGUUAACCGAAUAGGGGAGCCGAAGGGAAACCGAGUCUUAACUGGGCGUUAAGUUGCAGGGUAUAGACCCGAAACCCGGUGAUCUAGCCAUGGGCAGGUUGAAGGUUGGGUAACACUAACUGGAGGACCGAACCGACUAAUGUUGAAAAAUUAGCGGAUGACUUGUGGCUGGGGGUGAAAGGCCAAUCAAACCGGGAGAUAGCUGGUUCUCCCCGAAAGCUAUUUAGGUAGCGCCUCGUGAAUUCAUCUCCGGGGGUAGAGCACUGUUUCGGCAAGGGGGUCAUCCCGACUUACCAACCCGAUGCAAACUGCGAAUACCGGAGAAUGUUAUCACGGGAGACACACGGCGGGUGCUAACGUCCGUCGUGAAGAGGGAAACAACCCAGACCGCCAGCUAAGGUCCCAAAGUCAUGGUUAAGUGGGAAACGAUGUGGGAAGGCCCAGACAGCCAGGAUGUUGGCUUAGAAGCAGCCAUCAUUUAAAGAAAGCGUAAUAGCUCACUGGUCGAGUCGGCCUGCGCGGAAGAUGUAACGGGGCUAAACCAUGCACCGAAGCUGCGGCAGCGACGCUUAUGCGUUGUUGGGUAGGGGAGCGUUCUGUAAGCCUGUGAAGGUGUGCUGUGAGGCAUGCUGGAGGUAUCAGAAGUGCGAAUGCUGACAUAAGUAACGAUAAAGCGGGUGAAAAGCCCGCUCGCCGGAAGACCAAGGGUUCCUGUCCAACGUUAAUCGGGGCAGGGUGAGUCGACCCCUAAGGCGAGGCCGAAAGGCGUAGUCGAUGGGAAACAGGUUAAUAUUCCUGUACUUGGUGUUACUGCGAAGGGGGGACGGAGAAGGCUAUGUUGGCCGGGCGACGGUUGUCCCGGUUUAAGCGUGUAGGCUGGUUUUCCAGGCAAAUCCGGAAAAUCAAGGCUGAGGCGUGAUGACGAGGCACUACGGUGCUGAAGCAACAAAUGCCCUGCUUCCAGGAAAAGCCUCUAAGCAUCAGGUAACAUCAAAUCGUACCCCAAACCGACACAGGUGGUCAGGUAGAGAAUACCAAGGCGCUUGAGAGAACUCGGGUGAAGGAACUAGGCAAAAUGGUGCCGUAACUUCGGGAGAAGGCACGCUGAUAUGUAGGUGAAGUCCCUCGCGGAUGGAGCUGAAAUCAGUCGAAGAUACCAGCUGGCUGCAACUGUUUAUUAAAAACACAGCACUGUGCAAACACGAAAGUGGACGUAUACGGUGUGACGCCUGCCCGGUGCCGGAAGGUUAAUUGAUGGGGUCAGCGCAAGCGAAGCUCUUGAUCGAAGCCCCGGUAAACGGCGGCCGUAACUAUAACGGUCCUAAGGUAGCGAAAUUCCUUGUCGGGUAAGUUCCGACCUGCACGAAUGGCGUAAUGAUGGCCAGGCUGUCUCCACCCGAGACUCAGUGAAAUUGAACUCGCUGUGAAGAUGCAGUGUACCCGCGGCAAGACGGAAAGACCCCGUGAACCUUUACUAUAGCUUGACACUGAACAUUGAGCCUUGAUGUGUAGGAUAGGUGGGAGGCUUAGAAGUGUGGACGCCAGUCUGCAUGGAGCCGACCUUGAAAUACCACCCUUUAAUGUUUGAUGUUCUAACGUUGACCCGUAAUCCGGGUUGCGGACAGUGUCUGGUGGGUAGUUUGACUGGGGCGGUCUCCUCCUAAAGAGUAACGGAGGAGCACGAAGGUUGGCUAAUCCUGGUCGGACAUCAGGAGGUUAGUGCAAUGGCAUAAGCCAGCUUGACUGCGAGCGUGACGGCGCGAGCAGGUGCGAAAGCAGGUCAUAGUGAUCCGGUGGUUCUGAAUGGAAGGGCCAUCGCUCAACGGAUAAAAGGUACUCCGGGGAUAACAGGCUGAUACCGCCCAAGAGUUCAUAUCGACGGCGGUGUUUGGCACCUCGAUGUCGGCUCAUCACAUCCUGGGGCUGAAGUAGGUCCCAAGGGUAUGGCUGUUCGCCAUUUAAAGUGGUACGCGAGCUGGGUUUAGAACGUCGUGAGACAGUUCGGUCCCUAUCUGCCGUGGGCGCUGGAGAACUGAGGGGGGCUGCUCCUAGUACGAGAGGACCGGAGUGGACGCAUCACUGGUGUUCGGGUUGUCAUGCCAAUGGCACUGCCCGGUAGCUAAAUGCGGAAGAGAUAAGUGCUGAAAGCAUCUAAGCACGAAACUUGCC